rnacentral:rRNA from 1 species
UACGUAGGGUGCAAGCGUUGUCCGGAAUUAUUGGGCGUAAAGAGCUCGUAGGCGGUCUGUUACGUCGGCUGUGAAAACCUGGGGCUCAACCCCGGGCCUGCAGCCGAUACGGGCAGACUAGAGUUCGGCAGGGGAGACUGGAAUUCCUGGUGUAGCGGUGAAAUGCGCAGAUAUCAGGAAGAACACCCGUGGCGAAGGCGGCUCUCUGGGACGGUACUGACGCUGAGACGCGAAAGCGUGGGGAGCGAACAGG